rnacentral:rRNA from 1 species
GAUGAACGCUGGCGGCGUGCCUAAUACAUGCAAGUCGAGCGAACGGACGAGAAGCUUGCUUCUCUGAUGUUAGCGGCGGACGGGUGAGUAACACGUGGAUAACCUACCUAUAAGACUGGGAUAACUUCGGGAAACCGGAGCUAAUACCGGAUAAUAUUUUGAACCGCAUGGUUCAAAAGUUAAAGACGGUCUUGCUGUCUCUUAUCGCUGGAUCCGCGCUGCAUUAGCUAGUUGGUAAGUUAACAGCCUACCAAGGCGACUAUGCCUAGCCGACCUGUGAGGGUGAUCGCCCACCCUAGCACUGAGACACCGUCCCGACUCCUACGCGAGGCAGCAGUCGCGAAUCGCCCGCAGUGGGCGAAAGACUGCCGGAGCAACGCCGCGUAAGCGAUGAAGUUCUUCGGUUCGUAAAACUCUGUUACCAGGGAAGAACAUAUUUGUAAGUAAAUGUGCACAUCUUGACGUUACCUAAUAAGAAAGCCACGGCUAACUCCGUG